rnacentral:rRNA from 1 species
AGAGUUUGAUCCUGGCUCAGAUUGAACGCUGGCGGCAGGCCUAACACAUGCAAGUCGAACGGUAACAGGAAGCAGCUUGCUGCUUUGCUGACGAGUGGCGGACGGGUGAGUAAUGUCUGGGAAACUGCCUGAUGGAGGGGGAUAACUACUGGAAACGGUAGCUAAUACCGCAUAACGUCGCAAGACCAAAGAGGGGGACCUUCGGGCCUCUUGCCAUCGGAUGUGCCCAGAUGGGAUUAGCUAGUAGGUGGGGUAAAGGCUCACCUAGGCGACGAUCCCUAGCUGGUCUGAGAGGAUGACCAGCCACACUGGAACUGAGACACGGUCCAGACUCCUACGGGAGGCAGCAGUGGGGAAUAUUGCACAAUGGGCGCAAGCCUGAUGCAGCCAUGCCGCGUGUAUGAAGAAGGCCUUCGGGUUGUAAAGUACUUUCAGCGGGGAGGAAGGGAGUAAAGUUAAUACCUUUGCUCAUUGACGUUACCCGCAGAAGAAGCACCGGCUAACUCCGU